GGCACUAUAGCCAAGUGGUUACGGCGACAGAUUCGAACUCAUCCUUCCCAUCUGUUCCUCUUGUAGGGCGCAGGUUCGAAUCCUGCUGGUGUCG
rfam:Cylindrobasidium torrendii FP15055 ss-10 unplaced genomic scaffold CYLTOscaffold_87, whole genome shotgun sequence.